GACGAACGCUGGCGGCGUGCUUAACACAUGCAAGUCGAACGGAAAGGCCCUGCUUUUGUGGGGUGCUCGAUUGGCGAACGGGUGAGUAACACGUGAGUAACCUGCCCUUGACUUUGGGAUAACUUCAGGAAACUGGGGCUAAUACCGGAUAGGAGCUCCUGCUGCAUGGUGGGGGUUGGAAAGUUUCGGCGGUUGGGGAUGGACUCGAGGCUUAUCAGCUUGUUGGUGGGGUAGUGGCUUACCAAGGCUUUGACGGGUAGCCGGCCUGAGAGGGUGGCCGGGCACAUUGGGACUGCGAUACGGCCCAGACUCCUACGGGAGGCAGCAGUGGGGAAUAUUGCACAAUGGGCGGAAGCCUGAUGCAGCAACGCCGCGUGCGGGAUGACGGCCUUCGGGUUGUAAACCGCUUUCGCCUGUGACGAAGCGUGAGUGACGGUAAUGGGUAAAGAAGCACCGGCUAACUACGUG
rnacentral:rRNA from 1 species